rnacentral:rRNA from 1 species
CCUACGGGAGGCAGCAGUGAGGAAUAUUGGUCAAUGGCCGAGAGUCUGAACCAGCCAAGCCGCGUGAAGGACGAAGGUGCCAAGCAUUGUAAACUUCUUUUGUCUAGGGAUAAAAUCAGGCUUGAAUGCCUGUCCGUGUGUACUUUAAGAAUAAGCAUCGGCUAACUCCGUGCCAGCAGCCGCGGUAAUACGGAGGAUGCGAGCGUUAUCCGGAUUUAUUGGGUUUAAAGGGUGCGUAGGCGGACUGUUAAGUCAGCGGUAAAAGUACGGGGCUAAACCCCGGCUAGCCGUUGAAACUGGUUGUCUUGAGAUGUGGAGAGGUAUGCGGAAUGCGCAGUGUAGCGGUGAAAUGCUUAGAUAUUGCGAAGAACUCCGAUUGCGAAGGCAGCAUACCGGCGGCGAUCUGACGCUGAGGCACGAAAGCGUGGGUAUCGAACAGGAUUAGAUACCCGGGUAGUC